AACGAACGCUGGCGGCAGGCUUAAGACAUGCAAGUCGAGCGCACCCUUCGGGGUGAGCGGCGGACGGGUGAGUAACGCGUGGGAACGUGCCUUUCUCUAAGGAAUAGCCUCUGGAAACGGAGAGUAAUACCCUUAUACGCCCUUCGGGGAAAGAUUUAUCGGAGAGAGAUCGGCCCGCGUUGGAUUAGGUAGUUGGUGGGGUAAUGGCCUACCAAGCCGACGAUCCAUAGCUGGUUUGAGAGGAUGAUCAGCCACACUGGGACUGAGACACGGCCCAGACUCCUACGGAGGCAGC
rnacentral:rRNA from 1 species